CAUGUCAUGGUGUAAUGGUUUGAACUGUGGACUUUGAAUCCACCGAUCCGAGUUCAAAUAUCGGUGGUACCU
rnacentral:tRNA from 1 species